UACGGAGGGUGCAAGCGUUGUCCGGAUUUAUUGGGUUUAAAGGGUGCGUAGGCGGGCUAGUAAGUCUGGUUUGAAAGUCAGCGGCUCAACCGUUGAGGGUGGCUGGAUACUGUUAGUCUUGAACUUGUUGGAGGCAGCCGGAACGGAUCGUGUAGCGGUGAAAUGCAUAGAUAUGAUCCAGAACACCAAUUGCGUAGGCAGGCUGCUACGACUGAGUUGACGCUGAGGCACGAGAGCAUGGGGAGCAAACAGG
rnacentral:rRNA from 1 species